AGUACAUUCUAUCAGCAAUAUGGUGCUGCUACCACAAGAUGGCAGUGUCACUCCCCAGACUCAAUAGGUUUGAAAUCAGUUUGUGUGUAUUGAAAACGAUUGGGUUGGCUUCUGAUGGGCCAGGUAAGACUCCAGCAUCCAGACAGAACAGAUAAAUAUACGCCAUAGAAACAGUCAAUGUUUUCGAUUGAGUAUCCUGGCCACAUUUCAGUCCAUAGAGCCGAGUCUGCUGUGAUCCCAAUAAGGAAGAAGAAUGGAGAAACUCCUGGAAGUGUCUUUGCUGAUACUAUGGCUUCAACUGCCCAGGGUGAACAGCCAACAGGAACAGCAUCAUCAGGUCCUGAACUUCCAGGAGGGUGAAAAUGCCACCAUGAACUGCAGUUAUAAAACUUCGAUAAGCAACUUACAGUGGUAUAGACAAGACUCGGGUCAAGGCUUUGUCCAGCUGAUUUUAAUACGUUCAAAUGAAAGAGAGAAAUACAGUGGAAGGCUACGGGUCACCCUGGACAACUCCAUCAAAAGCAGUUCUUUGUCCAUCAUUGCUUCCCAGACUGCAGACUCUGCUACUUACAUCUGUACCACAGGACACAGUGUUCACCAAGUACUUGCAGCCUCUGCACAAACUCUGCCCAAGCUGCCCCUUUGAAGCCCCACAGUGGGUAGCAUUCGUGGUUAAGUCUUCACA